GAUGAACGCUGGCGGCGUGCCUAACACAUGCAAGUCGAACGAGAUGCGUAUUGGCAAGCUUCGGCCGGAAGAUGCGUUAUCGAGUGGCGGACGGGUGAGUAACACGUGGGUAACCUGCCUUAUGGAGGGGGAUAACAGAGAGAAAUCACUGCUAAUACCGCAUAAGCACACAUCGCCGCAUGGCAGAGUGUGAAAAGAUUUAUCGCCAUAAGAUGGACCCGCGUCUGAUUAGCCAGUUGGCAGGGUAAAAGCCUACCAAAGCAACGAUCAGUAGCCGAUCUGUGAGGAUGACCGGCCACUUUGGGGCUGAGACGCGGCCCGAACUCCUACGCGAGGCAGCAGUGGGUAAUAUUGCACAAUGGGGGAAACCCUGAUGCUGCGACGCCGCUUGAGUGAAGAAGUAUUUCGGUAUGUAAAGCUCUAUCAGCUGGGAAGAUAAUGACAGUACCUGACUAAGAAGCCCCGGCUAACUACGUG
rnacentral:rRNA from 1 species